UGGGGAAUUUUGCACAAUGGGGGAAACCCUGAUGCAGCGACGCCGCGUGAUUUAGAAGGCCUUCGGGUUGUAAAAAUCUUUUGUAUGGGAAGAAAAUGACAGUACCAUACGAAUAAGGACCGGCUAAAUACGUGCCAGCAGCCGCGGUAAUACGUAUGGGGCGAGCGUUGUCCGGAAUUAUUGGGCGUAAAGGGUACGUAGGUGGUUUUUUAAGUCAGGUGUCAAAGCGUGGAGCUUAACUCCAUUAAGCACUUGAAACUGAAAGACUCGAGUGAAGGAGAGGAAAGUGGAAUUCCUAGUGUAGCGGUGAAAUGCGUAGAUAUUAGGAGGAAUACCGGUGGCGAAGGCGACUUUCUGGACUUUUACUGACGCUCAGGUACGAAAGCGUGGGGAGCAAACAGG
rnacentral:rRNA from 1 species